rnacentral:rRNA from 1 species
CCUACGGGAGGCUGCAGUGAGGAAUAUUGGUCAAUGGACGAGAGUCUGAACCAGCCAAGUAGCGUGAAGGAUGACUGCCCUAUGGGUUGUAAACUUCCUUUAUAUGGGAAUAAAACGUUCCACGUGUGGGAUUUUGUAUGUACCAUAUGAAUAAGGAUCGGCUAACUCCGUGCCAGCAGCCGCGGUAAUACGGAGGAUCCGAGCGUUAUCCGGAUUUAUUGGGUUUAAAGGGAGCGUAGGUGGAUUGUUAAGUCAGUUGUGAAAGUUUGCGGCUCAACCGUAAAAUUGCAGUUGAAACUGGCAGUCUUGAGUACAGUAGAGGUGGGCGGAAUUCGUGGUGUAGCGGUGAAAUGCUUAGAUAUCACGAAGAACUCCGAUUGCGAAGGCAGUUCACUGGACUGCAACUGACACUGAGGCUCGAAAGUGUGGGUAUCAAACAGGAUUAGAUACCCGGGUAGUC